UACAGAGGGUGCGAGCGUUGUCCGGAAUCACUGGGCGUAAAGGGCGCGUAGGUGGCGGCCCAAGUCCAUGGUGAAAGCUCGAUGCUCAACAUCGAGUCGGCCACGGAUACUGGGUUGCUCGAGCACUGUAGGGGCAGAUGGAAUUCCGGGUGUAGCGGUGGAAUGCGUAGAGAUCCGGAAGAACACCGGUGGCGAAGGCGGUCUGCUGGGCAGUUGCUGACACUGGAGGCGCGACAGCGUGGGGAGCAAACAGG
rnacentral:rRNA from 1 species